CUUGCGCUAAUAGAUGAGCCUAAGUCGGAUUAGCUAGUUGGUGGGGUAAAGGCCUACCAAGGCGACGAUCUGUAGCGGGUCUGAGAGGAUGAUCCGCCAGAUUGAACGCUGGCGGCAGGCUUAACACAUGCAAGUCGAGCGGGGAAAGGUAGCUUGGCUACCUGACCUAGCGGCGGACGGGUGAGUAAUGCUUAGGAAUCUGCCUAUUAGUGGGGGACAACGUUCCGAAAGGAACGCUAAUACCGCAUACGUCCUACGGGGGAAAGCAGGGGAUCUUCGGACCUUGCGCUAAUAGAUGAGCCUAAGUCGGAUUAGCUAGUUGGUGGGGUAAAGGCCUACCAAGGCGACGAUCUGUAGCGGGUCUGAGAGGAUGAUCCGCCACACUGGGACUGAGACACGGCCCAGACUCCUACGGGAGGCAGCAGUGGGGAAUAUUGGACAAUGGGGGGGAACCCUGAUCCAGCCAUGCCGCGUGUGUGAAGAAGGCCUUUUGGUUGUAAAGCACUUUAAGCGAGGAGGAGGCUCCUUUAGUUAAUACCUAAAGUGAGUGGACGUUACUCGCAGAAUAAGCACCGGCUAACUCUGUGCCAGCAGCCGCGGUAAUACAGAGGGUGCGAGCGUUAAUCGGAUUUACUGGGCGUAAAGCGUGCGUAGGCGGCUUUUUAAGUCGGAUGUGAAAUCCCUGAGCUUAACUUAGGAAUUGCAUUCGAUACUGGAAAGCUAGAGUAUGGGAGAGGAUGGUAGAAUUCCAGGUGUAGCGGUGAAAUGCGUAGAGAUCUGGAGGAAUACCGAUGGCGAAGGCAGCCAUCUGGCCUAAUACUGACGCUGAGGUACGAAAGCAUGGGGAGCAAACAGGAUUAGAUACCCUGGUAGUCCAUGCCGUAAACGAUGUCUACUAGCCGUUGGGGCCUUUGAGGCUUUAGUGGCGCAGCUAACGCGAUAAGUAGACCGCCUGGGGAGUACGGUCGCAAGACUAAAACUCAAAUGAAUUGACGGGGGCCCGCACAAGCGGUGGAGCAUGUGGUUUAAUUCGAUGCAACGCGAAGAACCUUACCUGGCCUUGACAUACUAAGAACUUUCCAGAGAUGGAUUGGUGCCUUCGGGAACUUAGAUACAGGUGCUGCAUGGCUGUCGUCAGCUCGUGUCGUGAGAUGUUGGGUUAAGUCCCGCAACGAGCGCAACCCUUUUCCUUAUUUGCCAUCGGGUAAUGCCGGGAACUUUAAGGAUACUGCCAGUGACAAACUGGAGGAAGGCGGGGACGACGUCAAGUCAUCAUGGCCCUUACGGCCAGGGCUACACACGUGCUACAAUGGUCGGUACAAAGGGUUGCUACCUCGCGAGAGGAUGCUAAUCUCAAAAAGCCGAUCGUAGUCCGGAUCGCAGUCUGCAACUCGACUGCGUGAAGUCGGAAUCGCUAGUAAUCGCGGAUCAGAAUGCCGCGGUGAAUACGUUCCCGGGCCUUGUACACACCGCCCGUCACACCAUGGGAGUUUGUUGCACCAGAAGUAGGUAGUCUAACCGCAAGGAGGACGCUUACCACGGUGUGGCCGAUGACUGGGGUGAAGUCGUAACAAGGUAGCCGUAGGGGAACCUGCGGCUGGAUCACCUCCUUAA
rnacentral:rRNA from 1 species